GGACGAUUAGCUCAGUUGGUAGAGCAACUGACUCUUAAUCAGUGGGUCCAGGGUUCGAGUCCCUGAUCGUCCACCA
rnacentral:tRNA from 2 species